GCAACCCCCCUCUUUCUCCUGCACUGUGCGCCCGUCCAUCAUCACACCCCCCUCACCUUCUCCAGCAUUGUGCCCGGCCUCCGCUCCCACGUCUGCGCCGGCCUGACGUCACACCGUAUGGCCGCGCAGGAGGACGUCAGUUACGUCACUCGCACGGCGCCCGGUGAGAAGGAGCGCUGCGCUGGAUGGAGGAUGAGAAUGCGCUGACAUAGUGAGGAGACGUCUGGGCGUCACAUUCUGCAGAGAGAAGUUUUAGCUGGAACAAGUCCUGCCGCAAUACCCUUCAGGGGAACUCCACAGUGACACCGCUGGACACAUUGGGAAUAACAGCACAGUGACACCGCUGGACACAUUGGGAAUAACAGCACAGUGACACCGCUGGACACAUUGGGAAUAACAGCACAGUGACACCGCUGGACACAUUGGGAAUAACAGCACAGUGACACCGCUGGACACAUUGGGAAUAACAGCACAGUGACACCGCUGGACAUACUUGGAAAAGCAAAUGGUGCAAAACAAAAAAGUUUGACAAAAAAAAUAAGGAUUAUCUUUUCUUUACAAAUUAACUCUUAAAAUUCAUGAAUUAUAAAAUUUAAAGCAAUUGUCCACCUAUAU